rnacentral:tRNA from 1 species
GGGGAAGUACUCAAGUGGCUUAAGAGGUGCCCCUGCUAAGGGUAUAGACCGGGUGACCGGUGCGAGGGUUCAAAUCCCUCCUUCUCCGCCA